rnacentral:lncRNA from 1 species
UUGUUGUCCAGGUAUCAAACUGAGCUAUUUCUUUUUGUACUGUUUGUUUUCAGAUUUGUUUCUGCCUGGAAGAUUUGGCUUAUGGUCUGGAUGCCAAUAAUUUAAGAGAGUCAAUCAUGGUCACAAAUCAGGUAAAAAGGGACCAAACAACAAAACCAAUGGAGGGGGCCUGUGCAGCCAAGAAGAGAAACGUUUGUGUUCAACGUUGAGGAUUUGAAGCAGAUUUGAUUGAGGUCAGUAUAAAUCCUCAAGGAAGUGCUAAGAGACUGGGAUCUGAUCUGCAGAGUUGCCUGUUU